rnacentral:rRNA from 1 species
UUAUGGCUCAGGAUGAACGCUAGCGGCAGGCUUAACACAUGCAAGUCGAGGGGCAUCGGGAGUAGCAAUACUUGCCGGCGACCGGCGCAAGGGUGCGUAACGCGUGAGCAACAUGCCCGUAUCAGGGGGAUAAUCCAUGGAAACGUGGUCUAAUACCCCAUAGUAAUUAUGUAAGGCAUCUUAUAUAAUUUAAAGCUUUGGUGGAUACGGAUUGGCUCGCGUGACAUUAGCUAGAUGGUAAGGUAACGGCUUACCAUGGCUACGAUGUCUAGGGGUUCUGAGAGGAAGGUCCCCCCACACUGGAACUGAGACACGGUCCAGACUCCUACGGGAGGCAGCAGUGAGGAAUAUUGGACAAUGGAUGGAAAUCUGAUCCAGCCAUGCCGCGUGCAGGAAAGACGGCCCUAUGGGUUGUAAACUGCUUUUGUAUGGGAGCAAUAAGGGCUACGCGUAGUCCGAUGAGAGUACCAUACGAAUAAGCACCGGCUAACUCCGUGCCAGCAGCUGC